AUUCCAUUUUGCUGACACUUUCUGACUAUCUCCUUGAAUCUUUCCCAAGCUUCGAAAACCGUUUCUGUCUCCUUCUGGUAGAAAUUGUGGAUUUUCCUUCUGAAUUU
rnacentral:snoRNA from 1 species